rnacentral:rRNA from 1 species
UACGGGGGGAGCAAGCGUUGUUCGGAUUUACUGGGCGUAAAGGGCGCGUAGGCGGUCAGCACAAGUCAGUUGUGAAAUCUCCGGGCUUAACUCGGAAAGGUCAACUGAUACUGUGCGACUAGAGUGCAGAAGGGGCAACUGGAAUUCUCGGUGUAGCGGUGAAAUGCGUAGAUAUCGAGAGGAACACCAGUGGCGAAGGCGCCUAUCUGGCUGACAACUGACGCUGAGACUCGAAAGCAUGGGGAGCAAACAGG